ACCCGCCGAAUUUAAGCAUAUCAUAAAGCGGAGGGAA
rnacentral:rRNA from 1 species